rnacentral:ncRNA from 2 species
UCAGUGCAUGACAGAACUUUGU